AAAGAUCAGUCACAUGCCCAGGGCCACUGUGCUUGGGCAGUCCAAGUGUAAACUUCAUACACGGUGGCAAUUCGGUCUGGCUUGGCAAUCCCAGGAAGAAUGGGACCUCCCAGACAGCCUGCCCAUCAGCUCACCAUGGCCUGCUCGGAGGCUGGGUUCCCCACGCCAUUUUGUCCACACCACUGUGCCCAAGUAAGGCUGCCCCUUACUCUUCUCAUUCAGGACACCUUUCCCAACACAUAUUGACUAUGGAUCAUCUCUCUCCCUCAACAUAAGCUCCCCGAGGGCAGGGACCAGGGACUACAUCUGUUCUGUACAUUGCUGUAUCUUGGGCACCUGGCAUGGCAUGUGGUCAGCAUUCAGUUAAUGUUGACUGAACAGGUUUUCAUUUCUCUUUUUUCCCCCUGCAAUAUGUCUGUGUAACAAUGAACGAGUUCACAUUUUAAUGAGGACACAGUGACUUACUACACUGCACACGAAUGACUUUAGACGACACCCCUCUCUAGAAUAGUUAAAACUCUACACAAGGAUCUGAAGGAGGGGUCAAACUCUCACCACCAAGGAAGGAACAAGGAACAUUAUCAACAGGAUUCAAAUGAUCAGAGGCAUCACUAGUUAUGUGACUUUGGGAAAUCAUUCAACUUGCCCUGUUUCAGUGUGCCCAUUUCUAAAAAUGGGGGAUGUCCUUCACUCAGGGUUUUGCUGAGGUUUAAAGCACAGAUCGAGCCCUACACAGCCUAUCACAUGUGAUCCUUAUUUACCAAUUAACAGCAUCAAGUAUCUAUUUGAUAAACCACAUUUUAUUCUUGGCAAUUAUUCUUAGGAGCCUCUUGCAUACCAUUGGGCAUUAAAUAGGAACUUCAGUGCUUGCUAAGCGGGAGUAAAUUCUGGGUUUUCAUUUCACUAAUACGAAAGAACUGUACCCUCAGUGGAUUUGGAUCUUACCGUGAAGCCAGUCUUGGUAUGAUCCUUAGGUGUAAUGGACAUACACUAAGGAGGCCAGGGAGGCAGUGGGGGAGUGGGGAGGGUGGAUAAGGGCACUGAAUUUUUUUUUUUUUUUUUUGAGAUGGAGUCUCACUCUGUCACCCAGCCUGGAGUGCAGUGACGUUAUCUCGGCUCACUGCAACCUCUGCCUUCUGAGUUCAAGUGAUUCUCCUGCCUCAGCCUCCUGAGUAGCUGGGAUUACAGGCACCCACCACCAUGCCUGGCUAAUUUUUGUAUUUUUAGUAGAGAUGGGGUUUCAACAAGUUGGCCAGGCUGGUCUCGAACUCCUGACCUCAGGUGAUCCGCCCACCUCGGCCUCCCAAAUUACUAGGAUUACAGGCAUGAGCAUUGCCCUGGCCUACUGAAUUUUUCCUGGCCUGUCUGUGCCCAAACAAUUUAAGUUUUCUUUGCUUAGGAUAAUCUUGUGUUUAUAACCUCCACAGUGGUUGCUGGAGAAGUGAUUAGAAUAUUCUAAUUCAUCGUUUCCACUUCACCGCAGAAAGGAGAUGAGGCCUGCAUGGGAGACAAUUUUUGUUUAAAAAUAAAAAUAUCUUUGAUAAUUAGAGUGGCAAGGGAAAUUACGAAAACACGCACCAAAACUGGGAAGCAGAUUUCUAUUUACACGUGACACAGUUGACAGUUUUCCCUGGUGCCAAAGACUGUUAGAAUGCAAAUGGUUUCAUUUGAUUUUUUUUCCCCCUUUCAAGAGCUGGAACCAUUUCUCAAGCUACAGCAUGGCGCUCUCCCAGCUUCAAGGAAUAUUUUUAUCUGGGCAACACCCAGCAAAGUGAUGCCACGGCCCAGUUCAGUCAUAGCUGCGCUCUGACUUACACGGCAUGAAAAUGCUGCAAUGUUCAUUUUCUGAGCUCUUUUUAACAUGCGAAAUAUAAAUGUUAUAUUCGUUGGCAGGAAAGGAAAAGAAAAUCAGCCACUCUUUUUGCCCUGCAAGAUAACCAAAUGAAAUAUUAACAGAAAAGCAAGGAAAAACGUGCAAAGUUCACCUUCUCUUAUUAAGCAAGAGUCAAACUCUUGGAAGGAUUGUUUUGGGUCUCAUUUCUUCACUCUUAAAGGGGCAGAUGCCCCAGAAUGGCAGGAAUGCAUGUUCCUUCCCCCAGCUCUGUGGCUUGGAACAAGUUAUUUUGCCUCAUGAACCUGUCUCCUCUUUCUUCAAAGGAAGAUGAUCACACCCAGCCCACUCUCCUCACAAGUUUGUUCUGAGGCUCUCAAGAGAUGAGGUGUAGGAAAACACUUUGAAGUAUGUAAUGAAAACAGUAUUCCUUCCUUCCUUCCAGAGAGUAAGUGAGAGUGAGAGAAAGUGAGUCCGAGGCAUAAUUAUCACUACCAAUCUCAGCAGCAUCACCAUGCCAUGGAUAAUUUUCAGACACCUGAAAAGGGCAAAACAUUUGUCUUUUGUUUCACUCAUAAUUUCCUCCAUACUGACUUGGUGGGGGUACCAAUUCUCAGCCAGUGGGGCUCUAAUUUCGCCUAUCAUUUUCAGGAAGAAACGAAUGCAAUAUACUCUGUUCUCCGCAUGCCCGAGGUGGGGAGCAAAUGCUGUGCCAUGCAACCAGAUGGCUGGCAGGCAUAGCUGUGCUCUUGCUCCCUGAGAGGCACGCGGCCUGCUGAACUCUAAACACCCGCAAAUUCUGAACCCACACCCUUGUUGGCUUUAAGCCCCUGGGAGCUGAGCCUGAGGCCCAGGAGGUCUGAUUUGAGUGCUCAGCACCAGGCUUUGUUCCAAACUCUGGUGCCACUUUGUCCUGGGGCCAGUUCCUGCCCAGCCUUAGCUGGGAAGAGGGACCUCUAGAUAGUGAAGGGCUGAAAGCCGAAGUCACUGAAAACUCCUUUUGCAUAAGCCAAAGCCAGAAGACAAAGACAGGACCUCUGCUUUGAAGUGACUGGGGUAACUGCCUGGAAAAUGUUCCCAAUACAUCUUGUGAUGCGCAGGGAUGGCUGUUGAACACACCAAAUGGCCAGUUCCAUCUUUUUUCAAACCCAAAGAGAAAUACUUUUUAAAAAAUAUAUGUACACCAUUUAACUCCUGAACAAAAAUUUCUUUCUCCUUCCCCCAGGCCCAAAUCAGUGGCUCCAGGGAGCACAGUUAUCAAGAGAUUAUCUGGUCCCCAGAGUAUUGGGAGGCACUCAGCUGUGCCGCAUGCCUCUGAGUGUCCUGAGGCGAGUGAUUAUCUCUCAAUAACCUGUAGGGCUGUGUAGCUUAAAUGAUAACUUGACUUUAAAAAAUUUAGAACUCGCUGUUAGGCAGUUUCUAAGCAACCUGUUUCCAUGGUAAAGAAGCCUGGUGUUUAUACUGAUUUUUCACUUAAAAUGCGGUUUUAUUGAAUUUCACUCCAUGCAGGCAGCCAUUUGCCUGCACUUCAGCCCUAUCCACAACUGACAGCCAUCAUAUAUGCUGAAGAAGUUAGAGAAGACCAAACUACUUUGGCCAAGUGUAUUCGGUGCAUUACCAGCUUCAUUUUGUGUCCCUACACAUCUUUCCCUCUGCCUCCUCUUGCGCACCAUCUUCUAACAUAGCUUGCUGUGGGUUCAUGGUCACUGGGGAAAAACCUUAAUUAGAUAACAUCCAAAUAAAGAGAUGAUUAGCAAUUGUGACAAGGAGGAAAGUCAAAGGUGAAAUGCAAAAAAACGAAGGGAAGGAUCUAAACUACAGACUGCUGGGAAGGCUUUUCUGGGGAAGUAGCUUCUAAAAGAAGACACAAAGGAUAAGCAGGAGUUAGUUCUGUGAAGAUUCAUGCAACUGGAACCCGUGAAGAGGAAGACUCAGAGGUGGAACGGAGCUUUCAGAGGAAGUGAAAGAAGGGUGGCGUGGAGCCUUACAGAGAAGAGAAAGAAAAAAACAGCUAAGCCAAAUUAAACAAAUUACCUUCUUCAUUAUCAAAAUCCGAGACGUUUCCAUCUGCCACAUCCUUCUCUUUGAGGUAGUUCAGCAAAAACUGUUCGAUGUCUUCAGCUGUGGUGCUAUUCUCGAGAGUUGCUGGUCUUUGGUUCAAAUGACUUCCCUCCUCUCCUAAACUUUGCUCGUGGAGGUGCCUGAGAUUACCUGUGUCUGGGAACCACUGGGCUGUAAGUAAAGUGUUACAACGA